rnacentral:rRNA from 1 species
AUUGAACGCUGGCGGCAUGCUUUACACAUGCAAGUCGGACGGCAGCGGGGGUGCUUGCACCUGCCGGCGAGUGGCGAACGGGUGAGUAACAUAUUGGAAUGUACCGAGUAGUGGGGGAUAACCAAUCGAAAGAUUGGCUAAUACCGCAUACGUCCUGAGGGGGAAAGCAGGGGAUCUUCGGACCUUGCGCUAUUUGAGCAGCCAAUAUCUGAUUAGCUAGUUGGUGGGGUAAAGGCCCACCAAGGCGACGAUCAGUAGCGGGUCUGAGAGGAUGAUCCGCCACACUGGGACUGAGACACGGCCCAGACUCCUACGGGAGGCAGCAGUGGGGAAUUUUGGACAAUGGGGGCAACCCUGAUCCAGCCAUGCCGCGCGUCUGAAGAAGGCCUUCGGGUUGUAAAGGACUUUUGUUAGGGAAGAAAAGAGAAGUGUUAAUACCACUUUUUGCUGACGGUAC